AGCGAACGCUGGCGGCAGGCCUAACACAUGCAAGUCGAACGAACUCUUCGGAGUUAGUGGCGGACGGGUGAGUAACACGUGGGAACGUGCCUUUUGGUUCGGAAUAACUCAGGGAAACUUGUGCUAAUACCGAAUGUGCCCUUCGGGGGAAAGAUUUAUCGCCAUUAGAGCGGCCCGCGUCUGAUUAGCUAGUUGGUGAGGUAACGGCUCACCAAGGCGACGAUCAGUAGCUGGUCUAAGAGGAUGACCAGCCACACUGGGACUGAGACACGGCCCAGACUCCUACGGGAGGCAGCAGUGGGGAAUCUUGCGCAAUGGGCGAAAGCCUGACGCAGCCAUGCCGCGUGAAUGAUGAAGGUCUUAGGAUUGUAAAAUUCUUUCACCGGGGACGAUAAUGACGGUACCCGGAGAAGAAGCCCCGGCUAACUUCGUG
rnacentral:rRNA from 1 species